CAGUCACCGCGGGAAUACAGAGGGUGCGAGCGUUAAUCGGAUUUACUGGGCGUAAAGCGUGCGUAGGCGGCUUCUUAAGUCGGAUGUGAAAUCCCUGAGCUUAACUUAGGAAUUGCAUUCGAUACUGGGAAGCUAGAGUAUGGGAGAGGAUGGUAGAAUUCCAGGUGUAGCGGUGAAAUGCGUAGAGAUCUGGAGGAAUACCGAUGGCGAAGGCAGCCAUCUGGCCUAAUACUGACGCUGAGGUACGAAAGCAUGGGGAGCAAACAGGAUUAGAGACCCCCGUAGUCCCUGUCUCUUAUAC
rnacentral:rRNA from 1 species